rnacentral:lncRNA from 1 species
CCUCAAUUCAGCCAAGAGUGCUUUUCAAAGGAAGAUUCCAAUUGUUGGAUGCUUGUUGACCUUAAUUACUUAGGCUAUGGAUUAUACUUUAUAAUGCCAUUUGCAAACUAUUCCUUUAAAUACCAAUUGUGUCACACUGAACCUUGCCACCUUUCAUUCCUCUGCUUCUGUAACUUUUUCAAGGAGGAAAAUAUAGCCCAUGCUUCAGAAAGGUAAAGAAUACUUGAAUUACCUGAUCAUAAAAAUGAUCACUGUAACGUUGUGGGUGUUAAUUUGUGUAUCACUGCAUUACUUGCUCAGUUGUAUGAUGACUCUUUUUGUAGGUUUUCAGUGUGGAAACAUUUUUUUGUUUGUUUGUCAUAUUUAAUUGAGUAUAAGAGACUCACUGAUGGGGCUGUCACAGGGAGAUUUUGUAGACAAAAUACAUGUCAUCUUUGUAUCCAAUAAACAUUUUUGCAUGC